AACUGGGUCUAAUACCGGAUAUGACCACGGAUCGCAUGGUUUGUGGUGGAAAGAUUUAUCGGUGCGAGAUGGGCCCGCGGCCUAUCAGCUUGUUGGUGGGGUAAUGGCCUACCAAGGCGACGACCGGUAGCCGACCUGAGAGGGUGACCGGCCACACUGGGACUGAGACACGGCCCAGACUCCUACGGGAGGCAGCAGUGGGGAAUAUUGCACAAUGGGCGAAAGCCUGAUGCAGCGACGCCGCGUGAGGGAUGACGGCCUUCGGGUUGUAAACCUCUUUCGACAGGGACGAAGCGCAAGUGACGGUACCUGUAGAAGAAGCACCGGCCAACUACGUGCCAGCAGCCGCGGUAAUACGUAGGGUGCGAGCGUUGUCCGGAAUUACUGGGCGUAAAGAGCUUGUAGGCGGUUCGUCGCGUCGAUUGUGAAAACUUGCAGCUCAACUGCAAGCUUGCAGUCGAUACGGGCGGACUAGAGUACUUCAGGGGAGACUGGAAUUCCUGGUGUAGCGGUGAAAUGCGCAGAUAUCAGGAGGAACACCGGUGGCGAAGGCGGGUCUCUGGGAAGUAACUGACGCUGAGAAGCGAAAGCGUGGGUAGCGAACAGGAUUAGAUACCCUGGUAGUCCACGCCGUAAACGGUGGGUACUAGGUGUGGGUUUCCUUCCACGGGAUCCGUGCCGUAGCUAACGCAUUAAGUACCCCGCCUGGGGAGUACGGCCGCAAGGCUAAAACUCAAGGAAUUGACGGGGGCCCGCACAAGCGGCGGAGCAUGUGGAUUAAUUCGAUGCAACGCGAAGAACCUUACCUGGGUUUGACAUACGCCAGAAAGCCGUAGAGAUACGGCCCCCCUUGUGGUUGGUGUACAGGUGGUGCAUGGCUGUCGUCAGCUCGUGUCGUGAGAUGUUGGGUUAAGUCCCGCAACGAGCGCAACCCUUAUCUUAUGUUGCCAGCGCGUAAUGGCGGGGACUCGUGAGAGACUGCCGGGGUCAACUCGGAGGAAGGUGGGGACGACGUCAAGUCAUCAUGCCCCUUAUGUCCAGGGCUUCACACAUGCUACAAUGGCCGGUACAGAGGGCUGCGAUACCGUGAGGUGGAGCGAAUCCCUUAAAGCCGGUCUCAGUUCGGAUCGGGGUCUGCAACUCGACCCCGUGAAGUUGGAGUCGCUAGUAAUCGCAGAUCAGCAACGCUGCGGUGAAUACGUUCCCGGGCCUUGUACACACCGCCCGUCACGUCAUGAAAGUCGGUAACACCCGAAGCCGGUGGCCUAACC
rnacentral:rRNA from 1 species